rnacentral:rRNA from 1 species
UGCAUUUCGAACUGGUCGACUAGAGUUUUGUAGAGGGUGGUGGAAUUUCCAGUGUGGCGGUGAAAUGCGUAGAGAUUGGAAGGAACAUCAGUGGCGAAGGCGGCCACCUGGACAAAAACUGACGCUGAGGCACGAAAGCGUGGGUAGCAAACAGGAUUAGAUACCCUGGUAGUCCACGCCGUAAACGAUGUCAACUAGCUGUCUGUGUUUUAAACGUGGGUAGCGUAGCUAACGCGCUAAGUUGACCGCCUGGGGAGUACGGCCGCAAGGUUAAAACUCAAAUGAAUUGACGGGGGCCCGCACAAGCGGUGGAGCAUGUGGUUUAAUUCGAUGCAACGCGAAGAACCUUACCAUCCCUUGACAUCCAGAGAAUUUUCUAGAGAUAGAAUUGUGCCUUCGGGAACUCUGAGACAGGUGCUGCAUGGCUGUCGUCAGCUCGUGUUGUGAAAUGUUGGGUUAAGUCCCGCAACGAGCGCAACCCUUAUCCUUACUUGCCAGCGGGUAAUGCCGGGAGCUUUAAGGAGACUGCCGGUGAUAAACCGGAGGAAGGUGGGGACGACGUCAAGUCAUCAUGGCCCUUACGGGAUGGGCUACACACGUGCUACAAUGGCGUAUACAGAGUGCAGCGAGACCGCGAGGUGGAGCGAAUCACACAAAGUACGUCGUAGUCCGGAUUGGAGUCUGCAACUCGACUCCAUGAAGUCGGAAUCGCUAGUAAUCGUGGAUCAG